rnacentral:lncRNA from 1 species
GGACCGGCUCAAGGUCGCACUAACAGCUCUUGCUAACUCCUGUUCCAGGCUGUUUAUCUGGGCCUCCAAGUACCCUGCUUGCGCCUGGAGGUCUCUCACCCCCAGGUCCUGCUCAAAGCUGUGCACUUGGGCCCCCAGGCAUGCGGCUUGCUCCGGAAGGUCCCUUACCUGUGGCACUGAGCAUGUACUUCCUGCAGUGCAGUUAGAAAUGCCCAUCCGACUCUGCUUGCAAAGACAUCUGCAAUGGCAGUUCACAUGGCUCAGAUAGCUCACUUCUGCAGAGAGCUGAAUUUAAGUGGGACAGGGUAGCAAGAAUAAUUACUUUGACAAUCAUUUUGCCACCUGAUGACUGUGCUGCCUGUCCUGAGCUGAGUGCAGAGAGGGAGACACCCUUACAAAUGGAGAUUUGCUGGAUAGAAAUGUGGCCAAAGAGUUCAAUAAAAGGGCACAGCUGCUUAAAGACUGUUACCGGAAAGGAAUCCUGAUCCAGACGCCAAGAGAGGGUUCUUGGACUCAUGCAAGAAAGACUUCAGAAUACGAGUUUUGAAUUUUUGAAUUGCUGUUAAAACUUUCAUCAUGAACACUGAAGUGAGUGAAAAGAGACUUUUGCAGUCAUUUUUUUGUUCUCAGGUCCCUGGACCAUGAAGGGCCACAUCCAAGGAGCUACCCCAGGAGGCCUCUCAUUUGCAUUUGUCCCCGCUAAUGCAGGACAGAGAUCAUGGAAGUUGGGCCCGACUGGAUGAGAUUUGGGGGUCUUUGGAAGUGGAGAAUGUGUUUGCCCUGGGGAAGAGAGGUGAUGUCUAGGAGACCUCUUCACUCAGGGCAAGCUCUAUGACCUGCUUUGACUCCAGAAUGUGGUAGAAGUGGCAUCACAUAAAUUGCAGAGCCUAGGCUUCAAGAGACCUUGCAACUUGCCUCUCACUGACUUGAAGUGCUCCCAUCAGAGCAUCUUGUAAGGAGCAGGUGGAGCAUGUGGACAAGCCAUCCCCACCAGCCCCUGAGACAUGUGAGAGAGGCCAGAACAGGCCAUCCGGACCCCACUGUGCUGGUGGAUGAGACAGCAGAAGGAAUAUCAACCUACCAACAGAAUCCUGAGAAAUGCUCACUCUUACUUCAAGCUGCUGCAUUUUGAUGUUAUGAAACCAUAAAUAACUUAUGAAGUCAUCUUUGCUGACUUAAAGUUUUCCAUAACUUUAUUAUAACAUAUCAAAAUUAUGAAAAAUGUGAAAAGUAGAAAACUGAUGAAUUUUGCUUCUUCAUAUGGUCUUUAAGAAUCUCAAAGGCACUGAAGUUUUUUAUCUUUUCUGUCUUAGAAUAAAAAACCUUGAAUGAAAA